ACCAAAAAGAAAAAAUGACAAUGUAUAUCAAUGGAGAAAAUGAAAUAAGUAUGUGGAAAACAAAACGGGUAUUCUUUACAAUAACAUUGUAAACCAAUUGAAAGGGAUGUAGCGCAGCUUGGUAGCGCGUUUGUUUUGGGUACAAAAUGUCACGGGUUCAAAUCCUGUCAUCCCUACCUAUUACUUCGUCUCUGAACAAUAACGAGGGAUCAAUUGAGAUCAAUUAAAAUUGGACAUACCUAAUCUUUAAUUUUUAUUAUCUUAUACUUAUAUAUGAUAGUAUAGGGAUUCAAGAUAUAUUGGAGUUAAAAAAAGAAUCUUUUUACUUACAGUUUCCUUUUUUGUGAUUGUGAUAAGAAAGCGCUCUUAGUUCAGUUCGGUAGAACGUGGGUCUCCAAAACCCAAUGUCGUAGGUUCAAAUCCUACAGAGCGUGAUUCUGUUCUUGUUUUGUUAGGUCAAAUUUUAUACGGAAAAAAUGGAAGAGAAAUCUGAAUUUGACCUCCUGCGGAUUAAAGAAAGGAGGAGGUCAAAAAAACAAGGUGUUAAUUAAUCAAAGGUCCAACUGAUCACCACGUCUGUAUUGUAAAUAUGCAGUUACAAAUAAUCCGGCCAAAGUAAUAGGAAUUAGACCUAAGACGAUUCCAAAUAGAAAAACUUCAAUCAUUUCAAUUUAUUUGAAAAAGAGAAAAAGAGAGGUAAUAUCUAUCCUUAAAUAUUAAUCCAUAUCGCCCAUAAAUUUCAAUAACCAAAAAUUGUAAAUUUACACGGUAAAGAACUAGAAAAUAGAUGGAAUACUGUCAAAAAAUUUCCUUUUCUUUUUAUAAAUUGUUCAUUCAAUUAAUUUCAAAUAAGUCGUAUCUUGCUCAGACCAAUAAAUAGAACUGAGGUUAUAGUUAAAGCCGCUAGUAGAAAACCGAAAUAACUAGUUAUAGUAAGCAUAAAGGAGCUAAAUAAACUUUUUUUUUAUACAUAUGCUUGUAAAGCAAAAGCAUUUUCCUAAGUUAAAUUUUUUAAAAGAUAAAAAAUACGAGGAUAAACAAAAAUACCAAAUGAAAGAAUAAGUUCAAUUGAGAAUUUUUUUUGAUUUAUUUUUAUUUAUCAAUCAUUAUCAUUAUAGAUUAUAGACGGCACUAAUAAAAUAGAGUGAUACAGGUAGAAAAAAGAAAUCAAUUUAUCAUCUAUGAUAUCUACUUAUACUCUCGUGAUUCCGAAUCAAGAGAUUUGUUAGACAACUCUUGAUAAAUAAAAUAGAAAACUAAUAUUACAAUAAAAUAUUACAAUAAUUAAAUAUUAUCAAUAUAAAUAUUAAUAAAUAAGAAGUAAAUAAAUAAAUAAAUAAAAAUGUAAUGGAAGUUUUAAAUUAUGCAGUGAUUUUGAAA
rnacentral:tRNA from 1 species